rnacentral:rRNA from 1 species
GCCUGACGCAGCGACGCCGCGUGGGGGAUGAAGGUCUUCGGAUUGUAAACCCCUUUCGGCAGGGAAGAUGGAACGGGUAACCGUUCGGACGGUACCUGCAGAAGCAGCCACGGCUAACUUCGUGCCAGCAGCCGCGGUAAUACGAAGGUGGCAAGCGUUGUUCGGAUUUACUGGGCGUACAGGGAGCGUAGGCGGUUGGGUAAGCCCUUCGUGAAAUCUCCGGGCCUAACCCGGAAAGUGCGGAGGGGACUGCUCGGCUAGAGGAUGGGAGAGGAGG